CAAUAAAGGUCCGUGCUGAGCCUGGAUGUUACAAUUGGCGACGAGGUGAAUAUCGUGCUAUGGAAGAUGGCUGAAGGCUUCAGUUUAGCCCCAUUUGAUUUACGCGAAGAUGUGUGGGAAGAGUGGUUCGAGAGAUUUGAGUUUUACUUGGAUGCAAGAAAUGUGACUGACAAUGGCAAGAAGAAGUCCUACCUGCUUUCACAAUGCGAAGCGGCUUCCAGGGACGCCAGGAUCAUCGGAGGACAGGAGAGCACCGUCAACGAGAUCUCUGUGCCGGGUCGGGACGUGACGCCGGGUGGGAUCAAUGAAGUGCACGCCGGCCAACGCAGUCGCGACGUUUCAGGAGAUACAUCCGACUCCUGAGUUGAAGAAGCCAAAGUCUGUCCUCAGAACCUACACUGGAGCCAAGAUUCCGGUCGUGGGUGAAUUCAUCGCGGACGUGAAGUACAACAACCAGGCGAGAUGGCUUCCACUGGUGGUGGUUGGAGGAGAUGGACCAAACCUCCUCGGGCGCGACUGGCUUGGGAACCUGAAGCUGGACUGGUUCAACAUCUUCUCGGUAUCGACGCCUGGGCUUCGGUGUCAACUCGGCGGUGGCGUUGUUUCAGCGAGAGAUGGAGAAGUUGUUGAAUGGUAUGCCUGGUGUCUGUGUUUUCCUAGAUGAUGUGCUCAUUACUGGGAAAUCCCAGAACGACUGCUUACAGCGCACAUCUGCGGUGUUGGAGAAGCUGCAAGAUGCCGGACUCCGUGUGUCGGAGAAGAAGUGCAAAUUCUGCGUGGACAGCGUGGAGUACCUGGGGCACAGGAUCGACGCUGAGGGCUGUCACCCCACAGAGGCGAAGGUGAGAGCCAUCCACUCUGCGCCAAGUCCCAAAAACGUGUCAGAGCUGAAAAGUUUCUUGGGCAUUCUGAAUUACUAUGCUCGUUUUCUACCAAACCGAUCUGAGGUACUGUCACCAUUGCAUGAGCUUUUGAAAAAGGAUGCUUUGUGGGCCUGGGGACCAAAGCAGCAGAGUGCUUUCAAUGAGGCAAAAACGUUGAUAACGUCGGAACGAGUGCUGGCGCAUUUUGAUCCAACCGUUCCUCUUGUGCUCACUUGUGACGCAUCCUCUGUUGGCAUUGGCUCAGUGCUCUCACACAGAUACAGGGAUGGGUCCGAGAA